rnacentral:lncRNA from 1 species
UUGUUUUAGGUUUGUCUUCUUAGAUCUGUAGUUAAUUUUUCUUAGUCUCCCCAGUAAAUGAAAGUAAAACACUUUUUUUGUGCUCUGAGCAACAGUAAUCUCUCGUGGUUCUGAUUCCCGUUUUAUUAAGAACUGGCACCGAGAGAGACUCACUUGCUCAGGUCAGGACACAGUGGAGCCAUUGUCUGUGUUAGUCACUUGGUUGUCUGACUCUGUGACCUGGUUCAAGUCUCUUGAUUAUAAAGCCUAAGUUCUUUGGAUUAUAUCAAGUUGCCUCAAAGACAGGAACACAUUGGGUUUUUUUUUUUCCCACAACCCACUUGCCUUUGAGUUUCAGAGUAUUUAUUCCAGUAUAAAGGAUUUGUGUUCAGUUCAUAAAGCACUAAGCAUGUGUUGAGUGCAUACUGCAUG